rnacentral:tRNA from 1 species
GGAGGGGUGGCAGAGUGGUUGAUUGCGACGGUCUCGAAAAUCGUUUUCGUGGAAGCGAACGGGGGUUCGAAUCCCCCCCUCUCCG